AGCAAAAUGAUGAGCUAGUAUUCUCUGAACCUGAUGUGGAAAGAAACAUGUAAUGGUCUUCAAAGUUCUCUGAUUGCU